rnacentral:rRNA from 1 species
CAUGUCUUUUUGAUUAUAAUUUAAGGUUUAAUCUGCUCAAUGAGGAUUUAAAUUGCCGCGGUAUUUUGACCGUGCAAAGGUAGCAUAAUAAUUAGUUUCUUUAUUGGAAGCUGGAAUGAAUGAUUGGACGAGAAAAUUACUGUCUCUUUUAAAUUUAUUUUUAAAAUUAACUUUUGAGUAAAAAGGCUUAAAUGUUAUUUAAAGACGAGAAGACCCUAUAGAGUUUAAUAAUUAAAAAAUUUCAAGUGUUUUUGGUUAUUUAUUGAUUGGAAUUUUAUUAUUUAUUUGGUUGGGGUGACUUAAAGAUUUAAAAAACUCUUUUAAAAAUUUUAUCAAUGAUUUUUGAAUUUAGAAUCUAAUUUUUUUAAAAUUAAGAUAAAUUACCUUAGGGAUAACAGCGUAAUUUCUUUUUAGAGUUCUUAUUGAGAAAGAAGUUUGCGACCUCGAUGUUGGAUUAAAAUUAAUUUCUGGUGCAGAAGCUGGAAAAUUGGGUCUGUUCGACCUUUGAAAUUUUACAUGAUCUGAGU